rnacentral:tRNA from 1 species
AAUAAAAUGCCUGAUUAAUAGGAUUACUUUGAUAGAGUAAAAUAUAAAGAAUUUUCUUUUUUUAUUA